rnacentral:rRNA from 1 species
CCAGGGUUAGUCGGGACCUAAGCCGAGGCCGAUAGGCGUAGGCGAUGGAUAACAGGUUGAUAUUCCUGUACCCGUUGUUUUUGUUUGAGCAAUGGAGGGACGCAGGAGGCUAAGGAAUGCAGACGAUUGGAAAUGUCUGUCCAAGCAGUAAGUCUGAAGAGGAGUCAAAUGCUUCUUUUCUUAAGGACAAGCUGUGAUGGGGAGGGAAAUAAUAGUACCGAAGUUCCUGAUGUCACACUGCCGAGAAAAGCUUCU